CUUUACUAUCAACUAUAGCCCAACUUAUACAUGCAAGUAUCCGCACCCCCGUGAGAAUGCCCUCAAUCCCCUGCCCGGGGACGAGGAGCAGGUAUCAGGCACACCUCUUGGCCCAAGACGCCUUGCUACGCCACACCCCCAAGGGAAUUCAGCAGUAAUAAAUAUUAAGCCAUAAGUGUAAACUUGACUUAGUUACGGCUAAAAGGGUCGGUAAAAUUCGUGCCAGCCACCGCGGUUAUACGAAAGACCCAAGAUGAUCGACCACGGCGUAAAGGGUGGUUAAGGAUUAAAGUGGAUAAGGCCAAAGGCCCUCUAGGCCGUCAUACGCAUCCCGAGGGACCGAAGCUCUCGCACGAAAGUUGCCUUAAAUAAAUUUCACCCCUGACCCCACGAAAGCUAAGAAACAAACUGGGAUUAGAUACCCCACUAUGCUUAGCCUUAAACCUAGAUGUACUCUUACACACACAUCCGCCCGGGUACUACGAGCACAGCUUAAAACCCAAAGGACUUGGCGGUGUCUCAGACCCACCUAGAGGAGCCUGUUCUAGAACCGAUAAUCCCCGUUAAACCUCACCACUUAUUGCUUUUCCCCGCCUAUAUACCGCCGUCGUCAGCUUACCCUGUGAAGGCCUAGUAGUAAGCAAAACGGGCCCGCCCAAAAACGUCAGGUCAAGGUGUAGCGUAUGAAGUGGAAAGAAAUGGGCUACAUUUUCUACAAAACAGAAUAUUACGAACGACGCCCUGAAACUAAGCGUCCAAAGGUGGAUUUAGUAGUAAAAAGAAAACAGAGUGUCCUUUUGAAUUAGGCUCUGAGACGCGCACACACCGCCCGUCACUCUCCCCCCGCCCUGCCCCAACUUCAUCCAUAAUUAAAUAUCACUAUAUACGGGGAGGCAAGUCGUAACAUGGUAAGUGUACCGGAAGGUGCACUUGGAAUAAC
rnacentral:ncRNA from 1 species